UUAGAGUUUGAUCCUGGCUCAGGAUGAACGCUAGCUACAGGCUUAACACAUGCAAGUCGAGGGGAAACGACAUCGAAAGCUUGCUUUUGAUGGGCGUCGACCGGCGCACGGGUGAGUAACGCGUAUCCAACCUGCCCAUCACUUGGGGAUAACCUUGCGAAAGUAAGACUAAUACCCAAUGACGUCUCUAGAAGACAUCUGAAAGAGAUUAAAGAUUUAUCGGUGAUGGAUGGGGAUGCGUCUGAUUAGCUUGUUGGCGGGGUAACGGCCCACCAAGGCGACGAUCAGUAGGGGUUCUGAGAGGAAGGUCCCCCACAUUGGAACUGAGACACGGUCCAAACUCCUACGGGAGGCAGCAGUGAGGAAUAUUGGUCAAUGGACGAGAGUCUGAACCAGCCAAGUAGCGUGCAGGAAGACGGCCCUAUGGGUUGUAAACUGCUUUUAUAAGGGAAUAAAGUGAGUCUCGUGAGACUUUUUGCAUGUACCUUAUGAAUAAGGACCGGCUAAUUCCGUGCCAGCAGCCGCGGUAAUACGGAAGGUCCGGGCGUUAUCCGGAUUUAUUGGGUUUAAAGGGAGCGUAGGCCGGAGAUUAAGCGUGUUGUGAAAUGUAGAUGCUCAACAUCUGAACUGCAGCGCGAACUGGUUUCCUUGAGUACGCACAAAGUGGGCGGAAUUCGUGGUGUAGCGGUGAAAUGCUUAGAUAUCACGAAGAACUCCGAUUGCGAAGGCAGCUCACUGGAGCGCAACUGACGCUGAAGCUCGAAAGUGCGGGUAUCGAACAGGAUUAGAUACCCUGGUAGUCCGCACGGUAAACGAUGGAUGCCCGCUGUUGGUCUGAAUAGGUCAGCGGCCAAGCGAAAGCAUUAAGCAUCCCACCUGGGGAGUACGCCGGCAACGGUG
rnacentral:rRNA from 1 species